GAUGAACGCUGGCGGCGUGCCUAAUACAUGCAAGUCGAGCGAACAGACGAGGAGCUUGCUCCUCUGACGUUAGCGGCGGAUGGGUGAGUAACACGUGGAUAACCUACCUAUAAGACUGGGAUAACUUCGGGGAACCGGAGCUAAUACCGGAUAAUAUAUUGAACCGCAUGGUUCAAUAGUGAAAGACGGUUUUGCUGUCACUUAUAGAUGGAUCCGCGCCGCAUUAGCUAGUUGGUAAGGUAACGGCUUACCAAGGCAACGAUGCGUAGCCGACCUGAGAGGGUGAUCGGCCACACUGGAACUGAGACACGGUCCAGACUCCUACGGGAGGCAGCAGUAGGGAAUCUUCCGCAAUGGGCGAAAGCCUGACGGAGCAACGCCGCGUGAGUGAUGAAGGUCUUCGGAUCGUAAAACUCUGUUAUUAGGGAAGAACAAAUGUGUAAGUAACUAUGCACGUCUUGACGGUACCUAAUCAGAAAGCCACGGCUAACUACGUG
rnacentral:rRNA from 1 species